CUGUCAUUUGUUUUCAAUCGCGCGCGUGUUCGAUCCUGUUUGUGUGGCGCAGUUGAAAUCGAAAAUACUCAAGUCGAAUCGCGUGUGCUCGUGAAGGAAGUUGUUCCGGCGUUCGUUCAACAUGGUUCUGAUGGACAAAUCCACCGGGUGACCGAACCGGAACGGCGGGAUGGCGGAAUUUUCGCAUAUUUGGAAGCGCUUGAUUGUGAGAGGAGGUCCGGCGCCUGCUGCGGACACUCCCGGCCGAGUUUGUUCCGGAUGGUGAGCUCGCCUCGUCUGGAGGCGAACAUUGUUAGGGGCCUAUUCCACUGAAGAUUGUGCUUCAUAAAUACGCGAGAGUUCAUCCCAAGUACGAAGCAGUAGUUCCGGCACCGGCAUUUCGAACAACGUCAGAAAGUUCGGAUUGAAGCAGAAUAUUAAAAGAAAACGACGCGGAAAAAUGGACUAUUUUUUUUAAAUCAACGAAAAAAAAUAUAAAAAUACAAUAAAACUUACCGUAUUGACCAUUAAUUUCAAUAUAUAAAUAUAUGUUUUACAGUACAAUUUA